GGCUCAGAUUGAACGCUGGCGGCAUGCCUUACACAUGCAAGUCGAACGGCAGCGGACCUUCGGGUGCCGGCGAGUGGCGAACGGGUGAGUAAUAUAUCGGAACGUACCUUUCAGUGGGGAUAACGUAGCGAAAGUUACGCUAAUACCGCAUAUUCUGUGAGCAGGAAAGCAGGGGAUCGCAAGACCUUGCGCUGAUUGAGCGGCCGAUAUCAGAUUAGCUAGUUGGUGAGGUAAAGGCUCACCAAGGCGACGAUCUGUAGCGGGUCUGAGAGGAUGAUCCGCCACACUGGAACUGAGACACGGUCCAGACUCCUACGGGAGGCAGCAGUGGGGAAUUUUGGACAAUGGGCGCAAGCCUGAUCCAGCCAUGCCGCGUGAGUGAAGAAGGCCUUCGGGUUGUAAAGCUCUUUCGGCCGGGAAGAAAUCGCACAGGUUAAUACCCUGUGUGGAUGACGGUACCGGAAUAAGAAGCACCGGCUAACUACGUG
rnacentral:rRNA from 1 species